rnacentral:rRNA from 1 species
UGGGGAAUAUUGCACAAUGGGCGCAAGCCUGAUGCAGCCAUGCCGCGUGUAUGAAGAAGGCCUUCGGGUUGUAAAGUACUUUCAGCGGGGAGGAAGGUGUUGUGGUUAAUAACCACAGCAAUUGACGUUACCCGCAGAAGAAGCACCGGCUAACUCCGUGCCAGCAGCCGAGGUAAUACGGAGGGUGCAAGCGUUAAUCGGAAUUACUGGGCGUAAAGCGCACGCAGGCGGUCUGUCAAGUCGGAUGUGAAAUCCCCGGGCUCAACCUGGGAACUGCAUCCGAAACUGGCAGGCUUGAGUCUUGUAGAGGGGGGUAGAAUUCCAGGUGUAGCGGUGAAAUGCGUAGAGAUCUGGAGGAAUACCGGUGGCCAAGGCGGCCCCCUGGACAAAGACUGACGCUCAGGUGCGAAAGCGUGGGGAGCAAACA